GACGAACGCUGGCGGCGUGCUUAACACAUGCAGGUCGAACGGGCCCGCUCUCUUUUUUGGGGGUGGGUUGAGUGGCGAACGGGUGAGUAUCACGUGAGUAACCUGCCCCCUGCUCCUGGAUAACUGCUUGAAAGGGCGGCUAAUACGGGGUGUGCCGGCUGGUCCGCAUGGGCCUGGUCGGGAUAGUUUCAUCUUCGGGUGUUUCGGUGGGGGAUGGGCUCGCGGCCUAUCAGCUUGUUGGUGGGGUGAUGGCCCACCAAGGCGGUGACGGGUAGCCGGCCUGAGAGGGUGGGCGGCCACACUGGGACUGAGACACGGCCCAGACUCCGGCGGGAGGCAGCAGUGGGGGGUAUUGCACAAUGGGCGGAAGCCUGAUGCAGCGACGUCGCGUGAGGGAUGGAGGCCUUCGGGUUGUGAACCUCUUUCUCCGGUGGUGAAGGCCCUGUCCGUUGCGGCGGGGUUGACGGUAGCCGGGUAUGAAGCGCCGGCUAACUACGUG
rnacentral:rRNA from 1 species